GUAGAUUGCUUGCUUUCAAGAUCCCAUGGAAUGGGCAGAAGAGAGGUGAUGCCCCCCAAGUAUAAUUUUCCACAGAAGAUAACAGGAGGACUGGAUUUUACAAAACAUGAGUUUUACAUUUAAGGAACACAGAAAAUACCUCAAGCAAGAUGACACCAACCUGAAAAUUUAACCCUGUGAUCCCAUCCAGGACACCACUUACGAUGAGUUGUCAUGUCUUCUUAGGCUCUAAGAAGAUGUUUUUGAUGACCUUGACACUUCCCAAUGCUGAUUUUUCCAAUAAGUUCCAAAGUAUUUCAGAUGAACGAAAUAGAAGCUGUCCAGAGGGAUCUGGGUCAUUGAGUGCCUGUGAGAAACACCACCUCUCCUUUGAUACAGCUGCACAGGUACCUGACCAACUACACUCAACUAGAGAGAUUAAAUACACAGCAGAGGGUACCUGCUCACGUGAGACGCAGCUAUUUUCUCUCUUAGUGAUAUACUUAUCUACCUCCCUGACUUCUUGACUUUUGAGACCAACUAGAUUCUUUAACUUUGCCAUAGUUCUGAGAUGUCUGUCAGUUUGUCUUGUCUUUCUGAAUUUGAUUUUUAGCCCUGGACCAGGAUCUGUCCAUUCCUGUGAUGGGUUCUCUAUGGUAAGGCCUUAGCUACUCACUUAAGGCAUUUAAAAAAUAUAAAGAGAAAACCACAAGUUGCAUAGUUUCACCAUCCAGAGAGAACAAUCUUAUCAUUCUCGUAUAUUUUGGUUUUUUUUUUUUGAUCAAUAGAUAUCUGUUAAGCAGCUACUAUGUUACAGAUUAUUGUAAAUCUGGUAUAUUUCUUACUGAUAUUUUUAAUGUAUGCAUAUAACUUUAACAAUAUACUAUAUGCAGAAUUUUACAUUCAACUGCAGCCACUAAAGAUUUUAUUGUAAGCCUUUUCUCAUUCUAUAUUUUCCCAAAUCAUGAUUUUAUUUGCAUAAUAGCCUGUCGUAUGCAUGGACCAACCAAAAUGUACUUUAUACUUACUGUAUCUUUAUAUAUUGAGUUUACAUUUCUACAGAAGGAUAUAGUAAUAUUAAGGCUCAUGGACCUGAUUCCUGUUUCCAGGGCUGUGUCUCUUAAAACUGGUCUACUGAGGACUUUUCAGCUGUGGUCCCAGCUAUCCAGCCAUCCCCAUCACCUGAAACCAACUGUGUGACAGCUUAGUGAGAGCAUUGCCUAAGAUUCCCAAUUUUUAGAGCCUGGUCAAAUUAAGAUCAACCUCACUUCUCUGCACCUUAACUCCUCUGUCAUAUCUUAUAUAUCAUUUGUCUCCCUUUCUUUCUAUUUUAAAAAGACUGUGUAUAUAUUGCCUAGGUUAACCCUAAGCUUGUGCUCUUAAUUCCAUUCUCUCAUGCCUUCUUUGGGAAUUUCACCCUCCAACUUUCCAUGUACUAGCUUCUUAUUCCCCUGCCUAUAGGGGAAAACUUCAUUUUUCCCUAUCCUAAAAAUUAUAAAUAAUAAAACCAAAUAUCUUCUUUGAUUUUGCUACCAGUUGAAUUGUUCUCCAUCUUCCUUCUUUUUCUUCUCCAUCUGAUUUUAAUAUAUAUGUCUGCAUUCACUGCCUCUAUUCUCACAAUCCUCUCAUUCUUUAGUCCUGUAUCUGCCCUGACCACUUUAUGGAAAUAGAUCUGCCAAAAAUGAACUACAACUUUUCAGAAAUCACAUCAGUUGGCAUUUUCAUUCCUCAAUUACAGAAGCCUCUACAGUAUUUGACAGAGACCACUACUUCCUUCAUCAAACAUUUCAUUCACUGGCACACAAGACAUGGCAGUCUUUAGCUUUUCCUCCUCCUCUCUGAAUCUUCCUUCAUUGCCAGUUCCUUUGGAUUGUUUUUUGUUUUGUCUUGUUUUUCCCCAGAUGUCAAUAUGGGCACUCUCCAUUUUGCUGUUCUUGGUCCCUUGCUGCUUACAUGCUUUAUCUCCUGGAAAACUCAAGCACCUUGAUGGUUUCAAUUUUCAUCUCUAUUUGGGUGAAUUCCAAACCUGUAUUUCUGGUCUCUGCUUUUAGUAUCCAAUGUCUACUAUCUACCAAACACUUCCUCCUCUUUAUCUCAUCAGUAGCUCGAAUCUGACAGUUAAUAAUUUCUUUACUCAUUUCUCUACUUCAGAUGUCCUCCCAUUUUCCCCUAUUCAUAAGUUAGCUUUCUUUUCUACCAGAGUCUUGUUGCCACCCAUCUAAAGGAACAUAUAACUUAAAAAUGUAUAUCUUCUCUCCUUUCCUAGAUUGAUUAUGAAUUACAGAAACUACGAAGGUAGGAAGUAUGUCCUAAGUAAUAUUAUAUCCUCUACAUUGCAAGUGCCCUCUAUCUUGAUACCACCCAUUUCAGUGUGACUCAUUUUAUCAUUAUAUAUUAUGAUCUCUUAGCUGUAACAUGCAGAACUCUUUUUCCAAAUAUGGUAGAGAAUGUUAUUAGCAUUAGGAAUUUGACAUCCAGUUGGGUGGGACAGAUAUUA